CAGGACCCGCAAGACUCCUACAACCCUGUGAACUUAACUAUAAGCACGUUGCUUCGGCGGGUGUCUCGGCGAGGGUCCUCCCUCCCCGGGGCGCUAAGCCCGCCGGCAGCCUACUAUACUCUGUCUCUUUGCGUUGGCAUCUCGAGUACAAUCAAACAAGUUA
rnacentral:misc_RNA from 1 species